GGGGCUGUGGUGUAGCUUGGUUAGCAUCGCGGCUUUGGGAGCCGUAGACCCCGGUUCAAAAAGGGUUGACUGCAUUGACAAAUCAAGGCAAGUAGUCUCUCUUGUGUUUCCGGGCAGCCCCA
rnacentral:tRNA from 1 species